rnacentral:rRNA from 1 species
GACGUAGGGCGCGAGCGUUGUCCGGAUUUAUUGGGCGUAAAGAGCUCGUAGGCGGUCUGUCGCGUCGGCUGUGAAAACUCGGGGCUCAACCCCGAGCCUGCAGUCGAUACGGGCAGACUAGAGUGCUGUAGGGGAGACUGGAAUUCCUGGUGUAGCGGUGAAAUGCGCAGAUAUCAGGAGGAACACCGGUGGCGAAGGCGGGU